rnacentral:lncRNA from 1 species
AUCAACACCUGCAACAGAAAAAAGAAAAUCCUCAUUUUUAUUUUUAUUUUUAUACUAUAUGAUAAAAGAGAUAUAUAUCAUACACACAUAAAAGCAAGAAUUUACCUCAUAAUUCCAUCUACAUAGUGUAAGAGUAUUAGCAUUUUUUAUAGUUAAGAGACAUGGAUCAAAAUCACUAAUCUUCAAAUUGUUGCAUCCAGGGCCUUGUCUGAUAUCAAGCAUUGCAUCCUGCAAGUUGAAAUGACUCUCGAGACGAAUCCGUGGAAGUUGUCCUCGAUACCGAAAGGACCGAAGCUUCGAACACUUGAUAUGGAGAAACCUCAAAUCCGGACAUUCCAAAACAG